rnacentral:rRNA from 1 species
GGCUUCGAAGCAGCGUCGCUAGAUGUUGUGGAGCCGUCCUUGAAAUACCACCCUUGUACGUUUGAUGUUCUAACAUUGGCCCCUAAGCGGGGUUGUGGACAGUGUCUGGUGGGUAGUUUGACUGGGGCGGUCUCCUCCCAAAGAGUAACGGAGGAGCACGAAGGUUGGCUAAUCCUGGUCGGACAUCAGGAGGUUAGUGCAAUGGCAUAAGCCAGCUUAACUGCGAGACAGACACGUCGAGCAGGUACGAAAGUAGGUCAUAGUGAUCCGGUGGUUCUGAAUGGAAGGGCCAUCGCUCAACGGAU